rnacentral:rRNA from 1 species
UACGAAGGGGGCUAGCGUUGUUCGGAAUCACUGGGCGUAAAGCGCACGUAGGCGGAUCUUUAAGUCAAGGGUGAAAUCCCGAGGCUCAACCUCGGAACUGCCUUUGAUACUGGGGAUCUCGAGUCCGGGAGAGGUGAGUGGAACUGCGAGUGUAGAGGUGAAAUUCGUAGAUAUUCGCAAGAACACCAGUGGCGAAGGCGGCUCACUGGCCCGGAACUGACGCUGAGGUGCGAAAGCGUGGGGAGCAAACAGG